rnacentral:rRNA from 1 species
GGCCAGACUCCUACGGGAGGCAGCAGUGGGGGAUAUUGCACAAUGGGGGGAACCCUGAUGCAGCGACGCCGCGUGGGUGAAGGAGUGCUUCGGCAUGUAAAGCCCUAUCGGCAGGGAAGAAGCAAGACGGUACCUGACUAAGAAGCCCCGGCUAACUACGUGCCAGCAGCCGCGGGAAUACGUAUGGAGCAAGCGUUAUCCGGAUUUACUGGGUGUAAAGGGAGCGCAGGCGGCCUCGCAAGUCUGAUGUGAAAGGCCGGGGCCCAACCCCGGGACUGCAUUGGAAACUGCGAGGCUGGAGUGUCGGAGAGGCAGGCGGAAUUCCUAGUGUAGCGGUGAAAUGCGUAGAUAUUAGGAGGAACACCAGUGGCGAAGGCGGCCUGCUGGACGAUGACUGACGCUGAGGCUCGAAAGCGUGGGGAGCAAACAGGAUUAGAUACCCCCGUAG